rfam:Oryza sativa Japonica Group DNA, chromosome 8, cultivar: Nipponbare, complete sequence.
UUUAAGUGCAGUUAUGGAUUUCCAUGUCCAACGUUUGAUUGUUUGUCUUAUCUGAAAUUUUUUUUAUGAUUAGUAUUUUUGUUGUUAUUAGAUGAUAAAAUAUGAAUAGUACUUUAUGCGUGACUUAUUUUUAUUUUUUUUAUAAGACGGGCUGUCAAAUGUUGGACACGGAAACUCACAACUGCACUUAAA